UGUGACUCAAUUCCUGAGUUUUGGUGUUCAACGUUUGACCGUCCGUCUUAUAUAAAAUUUUUUUAUAACUAGUAUUUUCAUUAUUGUUAUAUGAUAAAACAUGAGUAAUACUUUAUGCAUGACCUAUCUUUUUAAAUUUUUCCAUAACUUUUUCAAAUAAGACGAACGAUCAAACGUUAGACACAGAAACCCAGGAAUUGAGUUUUU
rfam:Oryza meridionalis cultivar OR44 (W2112) chromosome 2, whole genome shotgun sequence.